AAAACGUUUAAUUAUACAGUAAGCAUACUCACAUGCAGACACAGGCAAUUUCACUGACAUCUCAAUGACACACAGAAGCUCAUUGAUACACAGCCUCAUAGACAAACAAUCUUACUGAUAUACAUCAGCUCAUUGACAUAAAAACACAAGCUCACUCACUAGCAGGCACAUGCAUGCAAGCAAGCUCACUCACUAGCAGACGCACACACAGCUUAAUGUGGU
rnacentral:lncRNA from 1 species